rnacentral:lncRNA from 1 species
AAAGAACCGAGGGCGCCAUCGCAGCUCUGUGUCACUACUCAGAGGAUUUAAACCUUCAUUUGGUCAACGGUUAAGUUCCGGUUUGGCUGGCAUUGGCCAAACGCAUGCGCAGUUAAAAAAAGAAAUCCCGGCUGGUUUGCUGGAAGUGCUUCCUGCACAGAUUGUGGUCUGACUGCUGGGAUCCACUUAGCCAAGCUUGGUUCUCCCCUGUAAUUCCUGCGCUCUUCCGAGGCAGGUGCUGAGACAGGAGGCUCGCCACGAGUUAGAGACAAGCUGGAAUUAUUUAGAGACCCUGUCUCAAAAGACUAGAGUCGAGUGUGGUGGUGCGCCGCCUUAGUCCCAGCUUUGAAGAGGUGGGUGGAGGCAGAGAGGUCUUCUAAGCUACGAAGCAAAUCAAAGACCAACUUGGUCUGCAUGAGACCCUGUCUCAGGAGAAAAAAAGUUUUCAAGCCCUUAGAUGAUCAGAGAUAGAGGAGGUUAAAUUUGCUUUAAGUUGUUUCUAAAAUAUGAUCGAUCUUACCAAUUUUGGGAAAUUCCUUCUCGUUGAACAGAAAAUACUGGUGGCUAUUUAUACUUAUUUCCAGUGCUGAUAUUGGGGACAGUUGUGGUGUGUGAUUUAUGUGUGCGUGCUGCCAGAGGUCCAUGUUGGAGAUCUUUGAGAUGAUCAGGCAUUCGUUGUAAUUAAAACAAAACAAGAAAAGACUUAAAUUAAAAAGGAAGCACGUCUAUAGUGUUAGGGGAAGGUAGCAAACGUGUUCUUAGGAUUAGUUCAUGUUACAUUAAACUUUGUGUAUUUUUUAAAAGGCAGGUAAAAAUCUAAAUACAUAAAAGACUUUAAAUUAAUAAUGUAUCAAUGUUGGGUUAAUAGAAACAAAUGUACAUACUUAUAUAAGAUGUUAAAAAAAAAAAGAGGAAAGUGCGUGGGAGGUGUGCUUCAUUUAUUUUCUGUAUAUCUGAGACUGUUCUGGGAGGCUAGUAUGCAGCUAAGUAGUAGUGUAGGACCCCAGCAUGUGCAGGGUCCUGGGUUGAGUGACUAGCACCACACACUAAGUAAAUACUUUUAACAGGUAAAAUCUGGGGCUGUAGAGAUAGCUCAGUGGUUAAGAGCACUUGCUGAUCUUGCAGAUCAUCUUGGUUGCCGGCAUCCUGGUUAGAUAGAUCACAGUUGUCUUCUGGCCUCCUUGGGCACACCCAUCCCUGGCUGCCACACAUGCAUAGCCCAUAAAUAAAUCUUAAAAGGUUAUGAAACCCAGUGCUUGUGGUAGUGCACACCGUUAAUCCCACCACUGUGAGUUCAAGGCCACCGUGGUCUACAGAGCUAGUUCCAGGACAGCCAAGGCUGUCUUGGAGAUCCCUGUCUUAGAAAAAAAAAAAAAAAUCAGGAAAAACAAGAGGAAACAUCGGAGAAGCUGAAGCAUCAUGAGAACUCAAGUGUCAGCAAAUGGUGAAUUAAACAUUUUAUUGGCACUGGACUUCUAAGCAGGAUGUAUAUGUAAUGUUAUGCAUAAAUACUUGUGUGUUUUGAGACAGGGUCUCAUACAGUCCAUGUUGAUCUUGAACUAUGGAAGUAAGGAUGACCCAGAUCUUUCUACCUAUGCCCUUCAAGUGUUGGGAUUAUAGGGGUGGGCCCCACACCUGGUUUAUGCCAUUCUGAGGCUUGAACCCAUAACUAUUGUGCAUGUUGUAUAAGAAUCCUGCUAGCCAAAAAACAAAACAAAAAAAAACUACUAAAAAAAAAAAAAAACUGGGUGUGGUGGCGCACACCUUUAAUCCCAGCACUCGGGAGGCAGAUUUCUGAGUUCGAGGCCAGGCUGGUCUAUAGAGUGACUUCCAGGACAUCCAGGGCUAUACAGAGAAACUCUGUCUUGAAAAAAACCAAAAAAAAAAAAAAAAAAAAAAAAAAUCUUGCUAGCUAAGCUACAUCCCCUGCUCUGGUGCAUAAUUACUUUAUAUCAAAAUGGAAAAUGGUUGCCCUUGGCAAACAAGAUGACUGCCCUGAAGACAACCCGGGUGUUCUUUUUAGUUAGUUUUCUUUGCAGUAUUGUGAUUGGCAUGUUAAGGAAGUAAGUGCUCUGAGCUACAUCCUCUGCCCCCAAACUCCUCCUUUUUUUUUUUUUAAAGAAGUAUUUAUUUUAUGUAUACAUGUACACUGUAGCUGUCUUCGGACACACCAGAAGAGGGCAUAGGGUUCCAUUUCAGAUGGUUGUGAGCCAUCAUGUGGUUGCUGGUAAUUGAAUUCAGGACCUCUCCAAGAGCAUUCUUAACUGCUGAGCCAUCUCUCCAGCCCAUUUUUUCUUCAGAGUCAAGGUCUUAGUAAAGUCCUUAGGUUGGCCAGGAACUUGCAGUCUCCUGAGUACAGAGGCUCCUUAGUAGAGAGGCUCCCAGGCUCCUGAGUAGAGUGGGUUACAGGAUAUUCCAUCAUGCCCAAAUGGCCCACCUGUAGAUUCUUUACUGCCACUGCACAACACUUCACAGUUUUUCUCCAGCACGACUGCACCCGAGAACCUUCACUAUUUCUGGGGGAUACCAUUUAAGAUGAGCCUCAGAGAACACCAGAGGACCUGGCUCACCUAGGUCAUAUGGAUAGGCAUUUCUCCUAUGGCUCAGCAGAAAGCUUAUUUUGGUGCAAAACGAGGCCUGUGACUGAUGGGACUAGAAAUACUGCUGUGACUGGUGCAAAUACAAUUCUUCAUUUGCAUGCCACAUCUACAUAGUCCUCCUUGCUAUAAAACCAGGCUAUUACCUCACUUUUUUAAGCUGGCAGGAAGUACUCUUCUGUGCUGCCCCCUAGUGUUGCAACAUGAGACCCAAUAAAAGGCUUCUGAAAAAU